UCCAGGUGUGGGGAACCAAAGGACAAUAAUUCCAAGAGUAAUUGACCUGGAAAUAAAAAGGAUGCAUAGUUUUAAAAUAUUUCAUCAUACCAGCCUGUGCAAAGUGGAAGAGAGAAACAGUGGACCGAGAGGUACUAAUAUGGAAUGGGGCUCUUGAGAAACAAAUGUGAUGUAUCAUGAGAACAGCAGUCAGAGCCCUUUUGGGAAACCUAUAGUUCUGUUUGUGGGACGGGACCAUGAGGCACACACCAAACCUAGAGACAAGACAUUCCUGUGCCAGUAGCCACAGUGCAGGUGCCGGCUUUUAGCGCCACCCACUGAGUCCCACUGGAAUAACAGCAACAUUGAGCUCUCCUCUGUUUUUAAGAACCCACGGGCCCCUGAAGCAGAGCAGGAACCCACAAUAUGCAGCCGCUCUCCCUGUGAGGAAGUGGCCAAAGCUGGCAUGAUGUUCUAAGAGCAACUGAUAGAGCACGCACCAUCAGUAUCUGAGAGGGAACACAAAUGGUUCUCAAGGCACCUGAGUGGGAUAUGUCUGUGUGUCUCCAGUGACAUUGAUCACGGAUGAGGACAGCCAAGGGCAAAUCACCUGCCUUACUGCACCAAACAGGCAGAAGCUGGUCCCAAAGGGGCUUUCAGAAUGGAGGGGUUUGAGUGUGAACAGGAAUGUAAAUGUAGUUUGAGUGUGAACAGUAAUGUAAAUUUACCUUCUGCUGUAACUCUAUGCACUUCUCCUGGGCUAGCGCUGCUCUUUGUAAAUUCCCCAUCUGUCUGGAUUGUUUUUAUUUUCUUUACUCACAAGGCCACACCACCUGAGAUGCUCACAGGAAACUCGCUGUAAUGAAGAA